GCCGGAGUGGCGGAACUGGUAGACGCGACGGAUUCAAAAUCCGUUUUCAGAAAUGAAGUGAGAGUUCGAGUCUCUCCUCCGGCACCA
rnacentral:tRNA from 1 species